rnacentral:rRNA from 1 species
CCUACGGGUGGCAGCAGUAGGGAAUUUUCGUCAAUGGGCGCAAGCCUGAACGAGCAAUGCCGCGUGAACGAGGAAGGUCUUCGGAUCGUAAAGUUCUGUUGAAGGGGAAAAAGAGCGGAGAGAGGAAAUGGUCUCCGAUUGAUAUUACCCUUCGAGGAAGUCACGGCUAACUACGUGCCAGCAGCCGCGGUAAUACGUAGGUGGCGAGCGUUAUCCGGAAUGAUUGGGCGUACAGGGUGCGUAGGCGGCCUGCUAAGUCUGGAGUGAAAGGUACCGGCUCAACCGGUACAGGCUCUGGAAACUGGCGGGCUAGAGAGCAGGAGAGGGCGGUGGAACUCCAUGUGUAGCGGUAAAAUGCGUAGAUAUAUGGAAGAACACCAGUGGCGAAGGCGGCCGCCUGGCCUGUUACUGACGCUGAGGCACGAAAGCGUGGGGAGCAAAUAGGAUUAGAUACCCCUGUAGC